GCUAGUGAUAUGCCAUAGAUAUUUUCUCCAGACACUGGGCAGUGGCAGCAAGCAGCAGCUCCCGGUCAGCCACAGGAUCAUGAGGGUAAACACCCUCACCUACCACGCACCGUGUUGCCGUAUGACAUGACUCUACCCAACCGUAAGCUGAAGUCUGAUAUUGAGGUUGUUUUCCAAUGAACACAUUCUUCUAUGAUCAUCUUUCUAUGACAGAUGCCAGGCGAGGUGCCAGAGCCUCAGCAUUGAGAAGUGGUCAACUUAAAAGUCGGCACCUUCCAUCUGCUGGACUCCCAAGUAAAACCUCAACUCCAGUCCUCAUAAUUGCACCAUUAUUGCGGAAAGCUUACGCCAGAGAAAAAAAUAUAAUAUGUGAAUACUGCAUGAUAACCUAGAAUUCAGGUAAUGCGAGCAACUUACUUUUUCUUAUGCUUUUCAUUUUGUGUUCUAAAUUAAGUAACCCAUGUGAUUGGCUCAUUUUACUUUGGGUCCAUGAGACUUUCUGCUCCAUGACUUGGGUGUAAUUCACCUGGUUGUAUACUUAGAGGCAACCACUGCAUCAAAGUAAUUUUCCAUAAGACAGAAGGUCAUUCCUCCUCCCAAGGAGAAAUCUGGGACAUGGAGAAAGGAGAAAGCUGACCAUGGAGUUUGAGGGCUGAUGGAUAGGACAUGGGUUCUCAC
rnacentral:lncRNA from 1 species